rnacentral:rRNA from 1 species
GAUCCUGGCUCAGGAUGAACGCUAGCUACAGGCUUAACACAUGCAAGUCGAGGGGGCAGCAUGAACUUAGCUUGCUAAGUUUGAUGGCGACCGGCGCACGGGUGAGUAACACGUAUCCAACCUUCCGUUUACUCAGGGAUAGCCUUUCGAAAGAAAGAUUAAUACCUGAUAGUAUGGUGAGAUUGCAUGAUAGCACCAUUAAAGAUUAUUGGUAACGAUGGGGAGUGCGUUCCAUUAGGUAG